rnacentral:tRNA from 1 species
GCUGCCAGGUGCUCAGUGGUAGAGUGCAUGCUUAGCAUGCAUGAGGUCCUGGGUUCAAUCCCCAGUGCCUCCA